GAACGCUGGCGGCAUGCCUAAUACAUGCAAGUCGAACGAAGUCUUUAAGAAGCUUGCUUCCAAAGAGACUUAGUGGCGAACGGGUGAGUAACACGUAGGUAACCUGCCCAUGUGCCCGGGAUAACUGCUGGAAACGGUAGCUAAAACCGGAUAGGUAUGAGGGAGGCAUCUUCCUCAUAUUAAAGCACCUUCGGGUGUGAACAUGGAUGGACCUGCGGCGCAUUAGCUGGUUGGUGAGGUAACGGCCCACCAAGGCGAUGAUGCGUAGCCGACCUGAGAGGGUGAACGGCCACAUUGGGACUGAGACACGGCCCAAACUCCUACGGGAGGCAGCAGUAGGGAAUUUUCGUCAAUGGGGGGAACCCUGAACGAGCAAUGCCGCGUGUGUGAAGAAGGUCUUCGGAUCGUAAAGCACUGUUGUAAGUGAAGAACGCCACAUAGAGGAAAUGCUAUGUGGGUGACGGUAGCUUACCAGAAAGCCACGGCUAACUACGUGCCAGCAGCCGCGGUAAUACGUAGGUGGCAAGCGUUAUCCGGAAUCAUUGGGCGUAAAGGGUGCGUAGGUGGCACGAUAAGUCUGAAGUAAAAGGCAACAGCUCAACUGUUGUAUGCUUUGGAAACUGUCGAGCUAGAGUGCGGAAGAGGGCGAUGGAAUUCCAUGUGUAGCGGUAAAAUGCGUAGAUAUAUGGAGGAACACCAGUGGCGAAGGCG
rnacentral:rRNA from 1 species